GCCAAUAACGCCACAUACGAAACAGUAGUUUGGUAAUUUUUCCUACAUAAAACGGCAUGUGAUCGUCUCCCCCUCGGUCGUUUGAUCUUCUUCUCCGCUUGAGGGGUUGGUUCACAUUAAGUCUCGCUCGAACUUGCAUCACCACCUUCUCGCCGCCGUAGUAUUGAGUCAGAACGUACCUUGUAAAACUCUCCACAAAGUUUCCCAGCGUUUUGCCAACUGCCUCCGCAAAAAACCCUGGUAAGAGAUCAUAUACCACUACCCAUAAUUCAGCAUGUGUCAAUGGGGCCUCUUGUUCCUUGUCUCCUUGUUGCAGCUCAUGAAGGAGAAGCAGGCACCCGUUGUGUGUCCACGGACUAGAUUAAACGACACACCGCGGAUCCAGUUUGUGAUAGAAGCGGAAGAGAAGAUGUCGAUCCUCCAACGCUCGGACGAACAAGCCCCUGUUCGGCCGCCAUAGCUUCGCCAUCCUCUCCUUCACCACAUCGAGAUUGAAGACUCAAUCUGUAAAAAAUAUCCCCACAACGCAUAGCGAGAGAUCCUCCGUAACCGGUUCAUGAGAUUCCAACCCGCAUAUCUCCUUGACUUAUUCCUCGGCUGCUGCGACUGUAAGAGCGUUGAGACGUGCUUCCAUCGUCAGUUGUGGUUGCUGGAAACCCUAGCUUGCCGAAGCCGGAACCCUAGUCGCCGAAACAUAAUACGCGUAAUAAAACUCUUAGACUUUAGGGAUGCCUCUCAUAAGGAGGAAACUUUUCAUUGCUAAGGUAGCCCCAAGUUUUAAAGAAUACAUUUCUAAUCAAGUGUAUUAAUUAUGUUUCUCUGUUUCAAAUAUAAAAUUAACGGGUGUAAGUGCCACAUCAAAUCAAAACUUAGUUUUUCAUUCUGGAACAUCAAUUUUUGGGGAUCUAAAAAUUAUAGAUGGAUAUAAUAAUAGGGUAUAAUUAUUCGAUAUUAAUUCUAGAUAAUAUUUGAUUGACAUAGAUAUAAAUUGACAUCAAUUCUAGAUGUUAUAGAUAUUAUUUGAUUGACAUCAAAUUUU
rnacentral:lncRNA from 1 species